rnacentral:miRNA from 1 species
UGUGUGUGUGUGUGUGUGUGUGUGUAUGUAAUACAUACAUACACAUACAUACACACACACACACACACC